AUUGAACGAUGGCGGCAGGCCUAACACAUGCAAGUCGAACGCGUGGCGGACGGGUGAGUAAUGUCUGGGAAACUGCCCGAUUGAGGGGGAUAACUACUGGAAACGGUAGCCAAUACCGCAUACCAUCAGAUGUGUCCAGAUGGGACUAGCUGGUAGGUGGGGUAACGGCUCACCUGGGCGACGAUCCCUAGCUGGUCUGAGAGGAUGACCAGCCACACUGGAACUGAGACACGGUCCAGACUCCUACGGGAGGCAGCAGUGGGGAAUAUUGCACAAUGGGCGCAAGCCUGAUGCAGCCAUGCCGCGUGUGUGAAGAAGGCCUUCGGGUUGUAAAGCACUUUCAGCGGGGAGGCGUUACCCGCAGAAGAAGCACCGGCUAACUCCGUGCCAGCAGCCGCGGUAAUAC
rnacentral:rRNA from 1 species